rnacentral:rRNA from 1 species
AGUGAACGCUGGCGGUAGGCCUAACACAUGCAAGUCGAACGGCAGCACAGUAAGAGCUUGCUCUUACGGGUGGCGAGUGGCGGACGGGUGAGGAAUACAUCGGAAUCUACUUUUUCGUGGGGGAUAACGUAGGGAAACUUACGCUAAUACCGCAUACGACCUACGGGUGAAAGCAGGGGAUCUUCGGACCUUGCGCGAUUGAAUGAGCCGAUGUCGGAUUAGCUAGUUGGCGGGGUAAAGGCCCACCAAGGCGACGAUCCGUAGCUGGUCUGAGAGGAUGAUCAGCCACACUGGAACUGAGGCACGGUCCAGACUCCUACGGGAGGCAGCAGUGGGGAAUAUUGGACAAUGGGCGCAAGCCUGAUCCAGCCAUACCGCGUGGGUGAAGAAGGCCUGCGGGUUGUAAAGCCCUUUUGUUGGGAAAGAAAAGCAGCAGGUUAAUACCCCGCUGUUCGGACGGGACCCAAAGAAUAAGCACCGGCGAACUUCGU